UUGAAUUGCAUCGUUGGCUUUGCAGAACAAUCUUAGGGUUUAUAUGAGAGGAAAUUGGUUAUUUGCAGAUGAGUUCCCUUCAGUCUCUGGAGGUUGCUCUGAAUUAGUUAGAAUCUCUCUAGCUCUUUCUCUUCUCUCGUUAGGUCAGGGUUUUUUUGGGAGAUGGAAGUCUAGAAUUUAUAACCUGAUUUUCGUGGCUUUGUGGGCUCAAAUGAGAGAGGUCCAAGUCCAAGAUUUUUCUGUUAUAUUUUAUUUAUUUAUUUAUUUAUUUUUUA
rnacentral:lncRNA from 1 species